rnacentral:rRNA from 1 species
GGUGGAGCGAUUUGUCUGGUUAAUUCCGAUAACGAACGAGACUCUGGCCUAUUAAAUAGUCGGAAUAUUUUUCUUCGGAGUAUUUCGCACUUCUUAGAGGGACAAGCGGCGUCCAGCCGCAUGAAAUAGAGCAAUAACAGGUCUGUGAUGCCCUUAGAUGUCCGGGGCUGCACGCGCGCUACACUGAAAGAGUCAGUAUGCGUUUUUUAUACCCGGUCCGUAAGGACUAGGUAACCCUGCGAAAUUCUUUCGUGCUUGGGAUAGGGAAUUGAAAUUAUUUCCCUUAAACGAGGAAUUCCCAGUAAAUGCGGGUCAUAAGCUCGCGUUGAAUACGUCCCUGCCCUUUGUAC